CCAGACUCCUACGGGAGGCAGCAGUAGGGAAUCUUCGGCAAUGGACGGAAGUCUGACCGAGCAACGCCGCGUGAGUGAAGAAGGUUUUCGGAUCGUAAAGCUCUGUUGUAAGAGAAGAACGAGUGUGAGAGUGGAAAGUUCACACUGUGACGGUAACUUACCAGAAAGGGACGGCUAACUACGUGCCAGCAGCCGCGGUAAUACGUAGGUCCCGAGCGUUAUCCGGAUUUAUUGGGCGUAAAGCGAGCGCAGGCGGUUAGAUAAGUCUGAAGUUAAAGGCUGUGGCUUAACCAUAGUACGCUUUGGAAACUGUUUAACUUGAGUGCAGAAGGGGAGAGUGGAAUUCCAUGUGUAGCGGUGAAAUGCGUAGAUAUAUGGAGGAACACCGGCGGCGAAAGCGGCUCUCUGGUCUGUAACUGACGCUGAGGCUCGAAAGCGUGGGGAGCAAACAGGAUUAGAUACCCUGGUAGUCCACGCCGUAAACGAUGAGUGCUAGGUGUUGGGUCCUUUCCGGGACUCAGUGCCGCAGCUAACGCAUUAAGCACUCCGCCUGGGGAGUACGACCGCAAGGUUGAAACUCAAAGGAAUUGACGGGGGCCCGCACAAG
rnacentral:rRNA from 1 species